rnacentral:lncRNA from 10 species
GCCUCCCAGCCUGCAUCUUUCUCCCGUACUGGAAACUUCCUGAAUCGAACACUGGACUCCAAGUUCUUCAGUUUUGAGACUCAGACUGGCUCUCCUUCCUCCUCAAGCUUGCAGACAGCCUAUUGCGGGAUCUUGUGAUCAGUUUUAUUUCAUCCUUGUGUUUAUAAAGAGGAGAAGAUGCAUGGAAUAGCCCGUUUGCUCUCCCUAUGCUGACAGUAUGCUUUCAACACUCCUUAGGCUUGAAUGUUUGCCACAGACAAUAAAGCAGGUGAUAGAUGAACUCUUGGCUUUCCUGGGAUGUAAAAUAAACUGUACUGAGUCUGAAAAUAUCAACAUACAAUAUGAAUGAUGCGUCCUUGCAGGCUAGUUUGCAUUUCUAUCAGCCUCAAAUUGGUUCUUAUUGUUGAGCCAUAAAUAUGUUACAAUAUUGUUUAACUGUCAACAAAGUGUAUUUUCUUGCUAACUGAGCUAAAUGUAAAUAUUCAAUAUUAUUGCCCAAUUAUAUUUUGUUCAUGACAUUGUAAAAUCUAACAAUAUAUUUUUGUAAUAAAAAUUAUAUUUGCAAAGGCAUGGUGAAUUUAUAUAUAUAUAUAUGUGUGUGUGUGUCUAUACACAUAUAUAUAAUAUAUAAAUGUUUCAAUAUAUGUCAACAUAAUCUAAAUCAUAUUCCUAGCACUAUUUGGUGCUUACUCAGUAUUUGUUGACUGAAUUCAUACAUAUUCCAUGCAUGCCUUCAUUUUAAGUCUAACUUUAUUUUUUAACAAUACUGACCUCUUAAUGGAAAAAAAGAACUCUCAAAAUAAGUUGCAUGCAAAGAAUAAAGAUAUACAUAUUUAUCUUGGAAAAUGCAGCACGAGGCUAACAGAGCACAGAGAGAAGUAAGACAUAUUAUCUUAAUUUAUUCUGCUCUUAAUUUUCUGUACUUUUUUCUAUUUCAAAUGAAAAAAACAAACAAACAGAGGAAAUCUUGACAAAAGUAUGAAAUGUUCAUGGAAAAGAAACACACAAAUUUUCAAGUUACUCCAGUAAAACAUGGGAAUGGAUGAAAUGUUAGGUGGGCAUUAGCUAUAAUAGACAUGUUUUGUUUCUAGAAGCAAAACAAAACAAUUGAGUAAUGGAUACAUAUGUGUCUCAUUAUUUUUGGUACAUUUAUGUAUUUUCAGAUAUAUUUUCAUUUUGAAAUAAAACAUUAGAAAAUAAAAAUUUAUGAUGUAUGAGAAAAAUACUGGUAUA